rnacentral:lncRNA from 1 species
CUGAUACAGAAUCACAGUUCUUAAGCUUCUUUGGCAGUACUGGCUGAACCCUCUGCGAAUGUACAUGUGGGUGGAAGAGAUCUUGGACAAGUUCAUGAGGUGCAGACUCUGAACUCUGGUCAGCUGAAGGAGGUAACAAAUGUGUCUGUGAUGGUCUUCUUUCUGCUUCCAAAGCACAACUUAUCCCUGGCAUGGUAGAGCUGAGAACACCGCUCAGAUCAUCAGCCAUAAAUAAACUAGUGCUACUACUACUACUACGGCUCCAGCGCAAGAUGCACAGGUGAAAGCCCGUUGUGCCCCCAUAAGCCCAGGCAUCCCCUCCAAG